CAGCAUCCAUUGUAGCCACGGUGAAAAGCCUUAUUGCUUCUUGCACAUGCUCCUCAGUAGCAACAUGAGAUCUGAUGCAGGAGAAAUUGAGUUAGACUAUCUAAGAUGCAGCAUAGCAUAUCGAGGGGAUCAGUGGAAUCAUGUAAUUUGGACUAUCUUCCAACUCAAAUAGGAGGUCUCGAUUGCUUUUUUGCUAUUGGUCCAUAACUACUACAGCGUUCAAUUGAUACGGACUAAAAAUAGAAACUCUAUAAAAGGGAAAAGCAAAUGAAAAUAAAUCUUUUCAUUGUUCUUAAUACACUAAAUUACUGACACAAUUUGUAUAACAUCAUGCAUUAUGAGCC